AACAGCAAACUUACAAUUUUGUCUCACCUUCUCUCUUCUUGUAAGGUGUUCUUUGACUUCCAUCAGAUUCGCAUUCUCACUCUUCUUCCACCUCACUUUGGCGCCGCCUCCUGAUUGAUCACCACCCACCAGAUUUGCCACGCUCCCAACACCGUGAGAUUUGGUUCCACCCCUUCUCUUCUCCUUCCCGUAGUCGGAUCCAUCGCCAUCUCUACUUUGACGUUUUGGGUUUGUUUAUCCGGGCCAGCACCCCUUCGGAGUGACGCACCUCGACUAAUCUCGGGGCUCUGAGCUGAUCGACCGGGCAAAGACGCAGUGGCCCGCCAGUAGCCAGCUGGGGGUGAGAAGAUUUUCCUUAUUUUGAUAUAAAUUUUGUGCUAAAUUGAUCUCAUUAUAAAUAUCAUUUGGCUUCCUUACUUUAAUGAAAAUUUCAUCCGAUAAAAAAAAAGGCUUAAAAUCUUGUCAAUCGGAUAUUUCGAAU